AUGCAUUACGGAUGGGUUGAUGUGCUCCAUCCAUUAAUUUUGGAGGACUUCUGCCCGAGCUUGGGGCAUUCGUUCCGUAAGAAUGACACUGAAUCCACCGAGGAUGAUACUGGAUCCGAUGAGGACAUGGUUGAAUUGUUUGCUGAGGUUAUUUCUGGAGGCAACUGGCUGGUCGUUAUUAACGGUCUGCAGUCCAUGGAGGAAUGGCAGUUGAUUAAAAGUAUAUUCCCGUCGGAAUGCUCUAAAGGUCAUAUAAUUAUCAUAACAAAUGACGAAAGUGUGGCCACAGGUUGCGUGGAUCAUGAAUAUCAGGUGCUCAACGUCAACGACGUGGCCCUUCCUCCUUCCAUGCAGGCCUCUGACUACUACGGAUAUGGAGAUUACAAGGACGCUGCUCGAAGUAUGUUUCUCUCCAACAGAAUUGAAAUUCCACAUGACGUGAAGUCUCAACAUGAGGUGCGUUGGACGUUGGAACAAAUUAUGUACCGUCCUGGGGUCACCUCGGUAUGGGGCAUUGCUGGUGUUGGCAAAUCAACUCUCGUCAGAGAAUGUUACGACCAUUUCCGUGAGAAGCUGAUAACUCACGACAUUCAAAGAUCUGCAUGGGUCGAUGUGCCUGACCCGUUUAAUUUGGUGGAAUUUUCUCGCCUCUUACUCCUGGAUUUCCACCGCCCUGAUCUUGAAGCGAUGGAAGCUGCCGCAAUUGGUAUUAUGCAGGGUCAGGACCCAAUUCAAGUGUGUCGUAAAAUCCUGGGUCAAGGCAGAAACCUCGUUAUUAUUGAUGGUCUGCGGUCCACAUAUGACUGGGACUUGAUCACAACUGCCCUUUUGUCCCAGCCUACUACAAAGACAAAAAUAGUUAUCAUCACAACUGAAGAAAGCAUCGCCGAACAUGGUGCCCAGCAGCAGGUACAUAAUAUGAUCAAUAUCAAAUGUCUAGAAGAUGACGAGGCCUAUGAUUUCUUCAAAAAGAUUAUUAACCCUGAGUUGCUGGCUCAUCUAAACGGAAAGGUGGACCUUGCAAAACUUGUUGCAAAAUGUGGUGGGCUUCCCAAAGUAGUGUCUGCUAUGGGCAAACCCUUAAAUUGGUUAUUCUGGGAGGAUAUGAAUGAUGACUUUAUGCUCAAAUUGGAGACCGACCCUCAGUUCCAUAGUUUGAGAGGUCUAUUGUCUUGGAUGCAUUCCUAUUUUGAUUCUUGUUCAGAUUUGGUAAAGCCAUGUAUCCUCUACCUGUCUGUCUUCCCUGCAAGCAGCAAAAUCAGGCGAGGCCGUUUAGUGAGGAGAUGGAUCGCCGAGGGCUACUCAAGGGACACACUUGGUUGUACUGCAAGGGAGAAUGCGCAAAAUCGCUUGUCUGAGCUUGUUAAAUUGAGCAUAAUCCAGCAAGUAACAAACAAUAAUAUCUGUCAAGUCAAUGGUUUCUUCCGUGAAUACAUCGUUUCACGGCCAAUGGAGGAUAAUCUUGUUUUUGCCUUGGAUGGGCGUUGCAGUCCAAACACACAACCCACAGGGCAACACCUGACCAUAAUGACUAACUGGCAGAGGGACAAAAAUGUGUUUGAGGGCAUCGACUUUGCACGGCUGCGGUCUUUGACAAUUUUUGGGGCAUGGUGUUCCUUCUUUAUCUCUAUUAAGAUGAAACGGCUUCGAGUGCUCGACCUGGAAGACAUGAUAGCAAUAAAAGAUGAUGAUAUUGAGCAGAUAUUUUUGAAUCUGUUGAGCCUUAAGUUCAUCUCCCUACGAGGAUGCAGGAACAUCAGUCGUCUGCCGGAUACAUUGGGAGGGUUGAGGCAGCUACAGACUCUUGAUGUAAGAUUCACCUCCAUAGUCAUGUUGCCAUCUUCCAUUAUCAAGCUACAGAAGCUGCAAUAUAUCCAUGCUGGCACCGUUGUAUUGCCAGAUGAUGAUUGGACAUCCGCGUCAUCAGAAGACGGUGAUGGGGUCACAAGCCAACUACCAACUGCAACAUCAGCUGAACUAGAAGGCCGUGAUAGCAGCAUAUCUUCAGGCUGGCCAAUAGUACAGCCAUCUCCUGAAAUUUGCAUUACCGAAAGCUCAGCACAGGCAGCAACAUCAUCAGAAGCCCAACACUGCUCGAUGCUACCAAAGGUGGGAUGGGCAUCCAAACAGUCACGCACUUCAGUAGUACCUCGGUUGCCCAAGUUUGCACCUAUUACGUGGAGCUUGUGUGGGUCCAGGAGAGAUAGAAAAACUUGCAGUGUCAAGGUUCCGGUGGGGAUUGAAAAACUUGUGGCCUUACAUACUCUUGGUGUGGUGAAUGUCAAUGCAGCAGGUGGGGAGGCCUUUCUAAAGCAGCUCGCAAAACUAACCCAAUUGCUCAAGCUCAGAGUGUGCGGCAUAAAUAAGAAAAACUGGCAGCUGCUGUGUUCUGCACUCUCGGAUAAGAAUUGCCAUCUGGAAUCCUUGUCUGUGCGAUUUGAUGAAGAUUGCCUGGACGAUAGCUUCAAGCCACCUGAGACCCUGAAGAGCCUUAAGUUGUACGGGCCUAUAAGGAAACUGCCAGACACUAUCAAGGGUCUUCUAAAUAUCAGAAAGGUGGAUCUUGAUAUGACUAUUACAAGGCCAUUCGACAUGCACUUAUUCUUGAAAGACAAAUUGCCACUUUAUGGUAUCCUAAAUCGUCUCUGCAUCAAGGUGCAAGGAGACCAUAAGAUAGAUUUUAGCGAGGCUGAAUUCAACUACCUCGACAGGGUUGUUAAUGUUGUACCUCGGGUCCUCAAGAUGGAUUGCAGCUCCCAGUUAGAGGUAUCUUUGGAUUAUCAUUACAUUUCCCGUGGUGUUUUGGUGCUGAUAAUCCAGUGCUCCAAAGGAUCAUUUUUCCGGGUUUCUGGGAUCUUUGGGUUAAGCUCUUUGCCCCAUCUCAAGACAGUCUGGCUUAAGGGUUCCUACAGCGAGGAACAACAGGCGCACCUGCAGGAACUUGUUGACGGUCAUGAUAAGAAGCCAGUCUUGAAGCUGGAGCCACUGCAAUAG
rnacentral:rRNA from 1 species